AGCAUAUCAAUAAGCGGAGGAAAGGAAACCAACAGGGAUUGCCUCAGUAACGGCGAGUGAAGCGGCAACAGCUCAAAUUUGAAAUCUGGCUCUUUCAGGGUCCGAGUUGUAAUUUGCAGAAGAUGCUUUGGGUGAGGCACCGGUCCAAGUUCCUUGGAACAGGACGUCAUAGAGGGUGAGAAUCCCGUACGUGAUUGGUACCUUUGCUCGUGUAAAGCUCUUUCGACGAGUCGAGUUGUUUGGGAAUGCAGCUCAAAAUGGGUGGUAAAUUUCAUCUAAAGCUAAAUAUUGGCCAGAGACCGAUAGCGCACAAGUAGAGUGAUCGAAAGAUGAAAAGCACUUUGGAAAGAGAGUUAAACAGUACGUGAAAUUGUUGAAAGGGAAGCGCUUGCAACCAGACUUGGGCGUCGUUGAUCAUCCGGGGCUCGCCCCGGUGCACUCGGCGGCGCGCAGGCCAGCAUCGGUUUCGGUGGGCGGAUAAAGGCCUUGGGAAUGUGGCUCUUCGGAGUGUUAUAGCCCUCGGUGCAAUGCGCCCUAUCGAGACCGAGGACCGCGCUUCGGCUAGGAUGCUGGCGUAAUGGUUGUAAGCGACCCGUCUUGAAACACGGACCAAGGAGUCUAACAUCUAUGCGAGUGUUUGGGUGUCAAACCCAUACGCGAAAUGAAAGUGAACGGAGGUGAGAACCCUUUAGGGUGCAUCAUCGACCGAUCCUGAUGUCUUCGGAUGGAUUUGAGUAAGAGCAUAGCUGUUGGGACCCGAAAGAUGGUGAACUAUGCCUGAAUAGGGUGAAGCCAGAGGAAACUCUGGUGGAGGCUCGCAGCGGUUCUGACGUGCAAAUCGAUCGUCAAAUUUGGGUAUAGGGGCGAAAGACUAAUCGAACCAUCUAGUAGCUGG
rnacentral:rRNA from 1 species